AUGAUAUUUGCCUUUGAAUGCUUUCAUGGUGGGUGGGGCGUGGUUAGGCUAGUGGGUGUCCCACACAAGGAGGUGGCAUUCAAUACCCACCUGAUGAACUUCCUCAGUGGUAAGGCCUUGAAAGAUGCCUUCUUUGGGAACUACAAGCCACACACCAACCUCCCAGAUGUUGUCAAGAUUUACACGAGGAAGGAGCUGGAGCUGGAGCUGGAGAAGUUCAUCACGCACGACGGACCUUUCUAA
rnacentral:rRNA from 1 species